GUCCUGGUCUACUCCAAAGGCAGGCAGCCUGAGGAGGUGAGUGCUGGUGCUCAGUCCUGGUCUACUCCAAAGGCAGGCAGCCUGAGGAGGUGAGUGCUGGUGCUCAGUCCUGGUCUACUCCAAAGGCAGGCAGCCUGAGGAGGUGAGUGCUGGUGCUCAGUCCUGGUCUACUCCAAAGGCAGGCAGCCUGAGGAGGUGAGUGCUGGUGCUCAGUCCUGGUCUACUCCAAAGGCAGGCAGCCUGAGGAGGUGAGUGCUGGUGCUCAGUCCUGGUCUACUCCAAAGGCAGGCAGCCUGAGGAGGUGAGUGCUGGUGCUCAGUCCUGGUCUACCCCAAAGGCAGGCAGCCUGAGGAGGUGAGUGCUGGUGCUCAGUCUUGGUCUACUCCAAAGGCAGGCAGCCUGAGGAGGUGAGUGCUGGUGCUCAGUCCUGGUCUACUCCAAAGGCAGGCAGCCUGAGGAGGUGAGUGCUGGUGCUCAGUCCUGGUCUACUCCAAAGGCAGGCAGCCUGAGGAGGUGAGUGCUGGUGCUCAGUCCCGGUCUCCUUUGCACACAGUCUGAGAUCUGAUCCUAUCAGACAGUGCCUCCCACAUUCAGGGUGGGUCUUCCUGCCUGCUCUGUUAAACCUUUCUGGAAGCACUCUCAAAGAUUCAUCCAGACAUACGUUUCCAUGGUGAUUCUAAAUCCUCCCAGGUUGACAAGAUUAACUGUCCCAGUAACCUAAAUCCCACCAUCAAAGGUUUAAUCUCUCGGGGCUUUGGAGGCAGCUGAUCUUUAUGAAUCUUUCUUGGUCGGAGAAAAUGGAAAACAUUCAACUCAUACUUAUGGGUGUGAUUAUUCUCUUCCUCUCCUCAAUUCCUUUCUCACGGCAACCCCGUGUAUGCGGUGACGUCAUCUCGACCCUGUAUAUGCAGUGACGUCAUCUCUCUCUUUAAAUGAAAGGAGGACAACUGCGGAGAAAUUCAGUGAUAUGUCCAGGAUCACUCAUUUAGACAGGUAAUCCAGGCUUCAAACCUGGGUGUGUCCGACUUCCCAUGCCUACUUUCAUCCUGACAUGACAACCACCAUCUUACCACCCAAAAGACUAGACUCACUGGCAUUCACUGGCAGCCUGUGAUGGGACACAUUUUUCUACAGAAUUUUCUUGUCAUUCGUGUAUCUGUAGAAGGUUUGUGUGCAAAUGCAUUCCAUACAGGGUCUGGUCUUUGAGGCCACCUGAGCUUGGCUCUGGCCUUCCAUGGUUUGGUUAUUCUUGAAACUAUUUUGUUUUUAAGUAAAAGAGAGAGAAGAGCCAUUGGAAGGGGAGAGGGGUCGAGUGAAGGGCGUUAUGAUUUCUAGAGCAGAGAGGAGCAGGUGCCAAGGUCAGAAAUGGCUAAGAGCCAGACCCUAUUUACAAUGAUGUCCUGGAUUAAUUUGGCCACUGUGUCCCACUAUUGGCAGGGUUUAGCCUGCCUGGCCGGCUGUAGAAGGCUUGUUUGGAGGAUAGGAAUGAGUUUGUGCUCACAGAAAGCAUUCUAAUUAUUUUUGUUUUCCUGGAUCAUGGUAAAGAAAAUCAUCAGUGUGAUUCCCAGUUAUGUAACUUGGUGUAACUAAUUUUGACCCCGGUGGCUAGGAAAAGAUUCAAACACUUGCUUAGCCCCUGUGUCUUCAGAAGUAUUGUACCCAUGUUUGCUCUAAGGAUGAACAGCACGGUCUAUAAGCAACAGUAAAGCUUCCAGUGCUCUCCUCCGGAAAUUUAAUUUUGUGCUUGAUUCCCAUAAAUCCUUUUGUUGAGUUUGCAGAGCUCAUCUGUCACUUCCUUGUCUGAGGAAGUGACAGAUUAGCAUGGUGUCUGUGUAGCUGCUGGUUGGCAGUCCUGCUUAUGCUAAUGUCUAACACCAAUGAAACAAAGAGAACAUUUAUUGGGAUUUUGUUUGGCGAGGUGGGAGUGCGCUCCCCGAUGAACUGAGCAAUCGUUUGAACCCUGGAAGGCAGUUCAUCAUUGCUCGAUCCACGUUAUGGCUAAACACAUAACACACAUAUUUUAAGUUCUCCUUUCUCCCUUUGAAAUUGGGGCUGAGGCCGGCCUUGCACAGGCCCUGGUGUUGCAGUCAUUUACAGAACCCCUGCACUCACACACUUUUACAUUUAACUCGAAGUGGUCAGAUUUCCCCAUCAUUUACAUUUAGACCGAAGGUUCUGAGAUUGAAGGUUUGACAGCACGUGGGGUAAAUGAAGGCGGGAGAGUCACUUACUAUUUAGCAAUAACGAAAGGUUCCCAAAAGUGUUGCAGCUAAAAAUUAAUUCAAAAUCAAAGGCGUGAUGCGUCCGAGGUGUUUCUGGCAAUGCCUGCCCAUGUUGUAUUACCUGACCUCGUUGUAGCCUUGAAUUCGAAAGCAGAAACGUGAGCUCUACACCACACAUGCUGUCACAGCACACACUGCCCAUGAAGGCCGCAUGGAACACCUCAGUCAAGGGCUGCAACAACCGCGGGCUACAAACUGCGGUCUUUACUCUGUGUGCAAUGCUUUCUGCUCUUACAGGAACAAAAGGCUUCGUUACAGAAAACAAUGGCUUCUUACCAUUCUGCAGAACGUUAAGUAUUGAAUUAUUUUAGCUUUAGGUUGCUCUGGGCUAGACAAAUGGGCACUCUCAGCUUGUCAGAGUGCAAAACUACUUCGACCUUUCAUGACUGGUAAAAUGCAUAUAUCCCCAAAGAACUUUUAAUAUUUUUUUUCAGAGAUUUUCUAUCAGCAAAUGUUUGAUCUGGGUACCUAUUUCUUAUACCUUUGUGAGCAGGGCUACGUAAAAACCUGUCAGAUGAAGUCAUGGGUAGAAAGGCUCGGAAAUCCUGGCCUAGGCGGUCUAGAAAACAAGUCAAAUCCCGACUCCUAACACUUGCUGAUUCCUAUGGAUACCUUCCCCUUCUCCCCCAUCACUUAUGAGCUACCCCGGGGCAUCACAGAGGUUAUCACGCACCGAUAACCUCAAGAACAGCCAAUGGCAAGAUACAGUAAUGCGGGGUUGGGGAUUUAGCUCAGUGGUAGAGCGCUUGCCUAGCAAGCGCAAGGCCCUGAGUUCGGUCCCCAGCUCUGAAAAAAAGAAAAGGAAAAAAAAUACAGUAAUGCAACCAGGAAGUUAGACGUUUUGAAUUAUUUACUGCCUUGGUUUAUCAUUUGUUUAAUUCUAAGUAUAAAAAUUUAAUUCUUAAACAAUGUGUGGGUAUCCUGUCUGCCUAUAUGCUUGUGUGCCAUGUAUGUGCCUGGUGUCCGUGAAGGCCAGAAAAGGGCAUCAGACACCCUGGGCUGGAGUUAGGGGUAGUUGUGAGUUGCCACGAAGGUGCUGGGAAUUGAACCUGGGUCCUCCCCAAGGAGCAACUAGUGCUCUUAACCCCUGGCUGAGCCAUCUCUGAAAACCUUAAUUUUUUUUUUUUUUUGAGACAGUCCUAGCUUUCAACUUUAAACUCCAGCUUAAAAAUCCUCUUCUCUCUGCCUUUCACACGCUGGGAUUCCAGGUGUAUGCCACUACACCCAGCUACAGAAUUAAUAGUUAACUGCAGUUAUGUUUAACAGCCAACUUGUAAAAGUUCCCAAGUUUUACAGUCAGCUCUAAGAGGCUAGUAAGAGCUCUCACCAGCAAGCCAAUGCCCUCUUCAUGAGACCUUGUAGUUUUAUGAGAUUUUGUUUCUGGAUGUUAGUGUAAGUGACCUGCUGUACAGUAUGCAGUAAUAGUAUAGUAGCCUGAAAGCCCACUAGAAGUUGGUCUCAGCUUUUUAUCGACACCAUAAUAACUUUGGUUUUGAAAUCUGGCUUACAGAAAUUUUGCUUCCUACGGACAGACUGUUUCUGGGGACUAACAUUCAGUUUAGGAAAUGCACCGAUGGGAUGAGGAAAUACAUUCCUGGAAGGCAGAUGAUAAACUGGACUUAUGAAAUGGGAGUCAAGACUCUUUAGAGCUUUCAAAUACACAAGAUGAAAUGUUUCUUCCUUUGCACCCGGUGACUGGAUGCCUAUAACUCUUUGUUCUAUCACUGAAAAUGAAGAAAGAGGCUUUCGCUCUUGCCUUUUUGCCCCGCUCUCUCCCCAUUCCCAUCCCCCUCCCCGUGCUCAUGGCCAGCCUCUACUCCCUACUUCUCCAUUUUCUCUCUCUCCCUGCUUUUCUCUGCCUCUACCACCUUCUCAACUCCCCUCCCCAUGCCCUGAAUAAACUCUAUUCUAUACCAAAAAAAGAAAAAGAAAAAAAUGAAGACCCACAGAAUGCCUUCUUUAACUUGGCUCCUACCUUUCCUAUAUCAUCUUUCCCUUGUAUUUCUACUUGAUGCUUUGUAGACUUAAUGUAUUUUGAUAGUCAUUUGUGUAAAAUGGGGUGAUGUAUGAGUAUAUAAUUUCAAAUAGUUCUUUUAAAUUAUGCUUUUUAAAUCACAAAACUAUUCUAGAAUAUUUUUUCAUUAGUAGAUUUUUUUGGAGACAAAGUUGAUAUAUAUAUAUAAUGUAUUUGACAUAUAAUAUAUUUGAUAUAUAUUAAUUGAUAUUUGACAUAUUUUAUAUUUUUUUUUGAAAAAAAUAAAACCCAUAGUCCAAGCUAGCUUCAAAUUCUAAAUCCUCCUUGACUCAGUUUUCUCAGUCCUGGGGUGACAAGUAUGGGCUGACAGCCCAGUCCCCAAGAGCAAGUGUUUAUUUUUAUUGUUUUUUUUUUUUUUGGUUCUUUUUUUUUUGGAGCUGGGGACCGAACCCAGGACCUUGCACUUCCUAGGCAAGCGCUCUACCACUGAGCUAAAUCCCCAACCCCUAUUUUUAUUUUUAUUUAUGUGUAUGUGUGUCUGUGCAUGUGCAAGAAGGUACCUACAGAGGACAGGAGGUGUCAGGUCCUCUGGAGCUGGAGUUACAGGUGUUUAUGAGCUACCUGACAUGGGAACUGAAUUCAGGUCCGCUAUGAGAGAAGCAUUUUUAAUGGCUGAGCCACCCUUCCUUUCUAGUCUCUUUAAAAAUAUUAUAUAUAUAUAUACACACACACACUAUGUAUACAUACAUAUAUACAUAUAUAAUAUGUAUAUUUAAAAUUUUACUUUAUUAUAUUAUGACUACAGGGUUUGUUCACCCAACCUUGGUCCACUACAGGACAAUCAUAGCCUCUGGUGCCCCCCCCCCACUACGCCCACUAUGGCAGUGGAGCAUCUCUCCACCUGUUGCCAAAGUUGCCUUUGUCUGAGAGUCACGGAGCUUCAAACUCAUUCGUGAUUUAGGAGAAAGAAGAUGCUUUUCAGAAACAGAAAGAAAACAAGGCGAGAGAAAGAAAGCAAACUUCAAUCUGUAGGACUCCAGAGAGGAAGGCAGACUUUCUUUAAGGCAAGGGUCUGCCUCCAGGCCUAAGAAAGACAAGUGGAGUAAGAACUCGAAGCAGGGUCACAUAUGCUAACAUGCAGAUGCGAUCGACCCUGAGAAGUUGGAAACCAACAUUUCCCAUUUAAAAACAACAAAAAUAAUCAAAGAGUGGGGCAUUUGAGAGAAAAGACAGCACUUCACAAGCAUUUCUGCUUAUUUAAUCUGGGAAAGAGAACAAGGUCCAAAAAUGGCAUGCUCUGAGGGAAUUUCUGAGCGCUUGGGAGAAAACUCCAAGAUGACAAGACAGGAGUCUUGGGACUUCAGUUUCUUCAAGAACUCGGAGCUGUUCUUGGAUUAUGCUUUUGUGAGUUUACUUCUGGUUACUCAUUAGAACUGGAUACCGUUAUUUGUUUAUGUGCCCUGUGCAGCUUACCCUUGUGUUUGUACGCUUUUCUCAUGUGACUCAACCCUCAGAGUUGAUGCUCUGAAUAAAGUCGGCUAUGGCAAGAGG